GACAGCUAGGGGGGAAAUGUCUACAGUGAUACUUGUGUUUACAGCUCCACAAAACAUGGGCAUGUUUCACCGCAAACUGGAGGUGCAAAUAUGAAUGUCAUGCAUCCCUUAAGUAGUGGUGGAGAAAGUGACCCUUUCUGAUGAAGCUUGAUCCCAUCAGAGACAAAGGCAGACUGAGCCAGGGAGCAGACCCUCUGGAAAAAGAACAGAGUCUUUACACCCAUCCUCUCACAGCCUGCCCAUUACACGGUUUAACCUGGAGACAUGACAGACAUGGAGAGAUCACUGCCUUAAUGGUGAAAAAGAGGGAAAACCUCAGAUGGGCUGUGCGCGACCACUAAGGAGAGAAUGGAGAGCUUGGAGACAUUGAGGGUCAUCAAGCUUUCUGAGACACUGUGAAGACACUGUCAUUUUGUCAGGAAGAUCAGUCAUGGAUGCACUUGUCCUCUUCCAUCUGGAACUUUUUUGUGAAGCAGAGUGUUGCAGCAGCUUGUGCUCUCAGCUCCCGGAUCCUGUAAGGCAAAGACAGAAUGGGGCAUGCAGUCUGCCCAGAGGAAGAGUCUUCCAAACAGUUUACAAUGAGGACAUUGACAGAUGAGAACUUCACUACCUCCCAUGCUUUCGCUUGUUUACUUGGUUCUCGAGAACUUCUCUAGUCAUCCUUUGGCCAGCCUGCACUGCGGCUUCCCAGAAAGACACGGAUAGAGCUGUCAGUUAAUCAAAAAUAAAUAGAUAAAC
rnacentral:lncRNA from 1 species